rnacentral:rRNA from 1 species
ACUAUCACGCUAGCUCUAAAUCACCUUAACACCUAUUAUACUACAAACUAAAACAUUCUAUAUUUCAGUAUAGGCGAUAGAAACAAAAGUUGAAGCAAUAGAAAAAGUACCGUAAGGGAAUGCUGAAAAAGAAUUUAAACAAACCAUAAAAGUACAAAAAAGCAAGAAUUAACCUCUGUACCUUUUGCAUCAUGAUCUAACUAGUAUACAUAAGGCAAAAAGACUUUUAGUCUUCUUUCCCGAAACUAAACGAGCUAUUUAAAAGCAACCUAUAUUCAGGGUAAAUCCGUCUCUGUGGCAAAAGAGUGGAAAGACUUUUAAAUAGAGAUGACAUAUCAAACGAGUUUAGUGAUAGCUGGUUACUCAAGAAACGAGUCUAAGCUCCUCCUUAAAUCUUAUUUAAAUACUCCUAAAAUUACUAAUUAAAAAUUAAGAGAAAUUCAAAAGGGGAACAGCCCUUAUGAAAAAGGAUACAACCUAAAACAAUGGGUAAUGAUUAAAUUCACCUUAAAACUUUGACCCAAGUAAGCCUAAAAGCAGCUACCUAUUAAGAAAGCGUCAUAGCUCAAAUCAAAAUUCAAUUAAUAAUUUAAAUAUUAACUCAAAACCCACUAAAACUAAUGAGUAUGCCUAUAAAACUAUAGCUGAAUUAAUGUUAGAACUAGUAAUAAGAAAUCACAACUUUCUCUUUAGCAUCCGUGUAAAUCAGCUCGAACUAAUCACUGAUACUUAUCGACCAAACAAUUUAACCAUUAACAAUUCUACAAGACAUCCAACUUUACCCACACCGUUAACCCAACACAGGAAUGCAAUCAAGAAAGACAUAAAAGUAAAGAAGGAACUCGGCAACCACAAGCUUCGCCUGUUUACCAAAAACAUCACCUCUAGCAAAUUCAACAUGUAUUAGAGGCACUGCCUGCCCAGUGAUUUUAUUCAACGGCCGCGGUAUUCUGACCGUGCAAAGGUAGCAUAAUCACUUGUCUUUUAAAUAAAGACUAGUAUGAACGGCACCACGAAAGCCUAACUGUCUCCUUUACUUAGUCAAUGAAACUGAUCUUCCCGUACAAAAGCGUGAAUAUUAAAACAAGACGAGAAGACCCUAUGGAACUUAAAACACACAACCACUUUAACCCUACAUAAUAAUAAUANAACACCUGGACUAUGCUGUUUUUGGUUGGGGCGACCACGGAGUAAAACAAAACCUCCGAGAACAUUACCCAGAUAAACAUAACAAAGUAUCAAAACCUUGAAUUAAAGACCCAAUAAAUUUGAUCAUCGAACCAAGCUACCCUAGGGAUAACAGCGCAAUCUUCUUCAAGAGCCCUUAUCACCAAGAAGGUUUACGACCUCGAUGUUGGAUCAGGAUACCCAGACAGUGCAGCCGCUGUCAAAGGUUUGUUUGUUCAACAAUUAAUAAUCCUACGUGAUCUGAGUUCAGACCGGAGCAAUCCAGGUCAGUUUCUAUCUAUUUAAUUAUUCCAUUUAGUACGAAAGGACCAAUGAAAUGGGACCAAUAUAAAAUACACGUCCCCUAAAAAAUUAUGAAACCAACUAAAUUUAAUACCACCACAACACCCCUAAAACAGGGAAAUUU